AGGAGGAGAGGAGGAAGGAGGAAGAGGAAGAAGGAGAGAGGAGUCAAGAUGAAGCUGAGGUAAAAUUAACAUUGCUGUAGGGAACACCUGUGAGAGAAAGCGCUGCCCAGGGAGGGCCUCAUCACCUCUACCUGUCACACACCUGAAUUCUCCAGCUGCACCAAACGAUCGAGUCACCCAGAAUGUCCUUGCCCUACUUGGCCGCCUACAGAACUCAUCUUCACUCUUCAAACCCCAGCUGAGACACCACCACCCGUUGGUGGCUUCAUGCUACAGCUCGAACGAAUCAUUUUGUUCCUUCUGCACCACUCAGGGCCUGGCGCCCCGCCCAGUGCGCGGCUUCCCGACCCGUUAGUAGCACGUGUUGUGUUGCCAAUAGGUUGUGGGCCUAUUUGUGCGCUUAGGCCUCCAGGUGUCCCGGUUGGGCCUAGGGCAGCUGGAGCUCCUCCUGGCUGGUGCCCGCCGGCUGUGAACAGCACAUCCGUGGAGCUGGCGUACCACACCGCACAAAUACUCUCAUCUUCCGUAUGCGCUGUGCCUGGGGUGGGGUGGGGGGGGGGAUAUCCUCUGUUAAUCACCCAGGAGGCUAAAUGGGAACUGUUUUAGUCUCAGUUUCAACCGGGGCCCCAAAGCAAUAGAUGAAACAUUCCAAAAUGAGCUGUAGGAGUUGCGAAAGUGCUUAUGGAAACCAGUUUUCUACUCUCCGCCACCACCCACCUCCAGACUAUAAAAGAUGACAGAGGGGCCGAGAAAAGAAUUGAGGUUUCCAGUAGAGCAUUUUGUGAGAGGAAGCUAAGCUGCGCAUCCCACCCAGAAGAGUGGGAUGACUGCCCUCCCUCCCACCAAAGCAAGAGCUCUCCCGCCUUCCCAGCGGCAGUUUUCAAACAUUUGAAAGAUGUUAGCUGUUCAUCACAGCGAUGACAUCCUGUAACAUUUUGUGGAUUUCUGGUUCAUCUGUUUUUGCUGCAAUGGAAUCCUUGUGACUGAAGCAGUCAAUGAAUGUCAUAGGAGGGACAGGGUUAGCCAGCAUCCAGUGACUGAUCAAUCGAGGGUAUGAAGGCCAUCUGGAAGACUCUGAGGGGCCAUCCCAGCUUCAGGGUUCCUCAGAGGGUUGACUGAGGUCUUUGUUGGGAUCAAUCACAGAUCAACUUCUGCCGCUGCCCAAUUCUGCUUCCUCCUCCUCCCCUACAAGAGCGCUUUGUAGUGAACAUCCUGUGAACUAGCCUUCGCUCAGAAUCAGCUUCCAGAAAAACCAACCUGCCACAGCUAUACGAGUGGACAAAAUUCAAAGAGUACAAAGCAGUAUGCAAAGGAAUAUACGCAUACCAACAUCUCUGGAUGCUUCCAGAGAUGGUCUUAUGUGCAUGAAUGCCAUGGAAGUACAUAUGUACAUGUCUGCAUAUUUUAGCCAUUUUCUUAUAAAACUUGUAGCAACUUAUACUUUGAAAAAUGUAUUUCUUAUUUAAAUUUUUUAAAUUUAUGUUUAC